GAGACCCUUCUCUCAGGCCAGCAGUCUUAUACUUAUAGUUGACUGCUCUAUGACGAUCUGACCUCUUUCCUGGGCUCUGCUUGCUCGUCUACGCUCCGACCAAUUCAGUCAAAAUCGAAAAAAUGUUUCAUAAUAGAUGCAAGUGUUUGA
rnacentral:rRNA from 1 species